GCCUAGUAUAAUGCAUGGCGCGCUGGAUGAAAUAAUUAGGCACGUUGCUGUGUUUUAACGCUAAAAUGUGCCGUUUGGUUAAAUGACCACAUCACUCAAUCUGUAUCGAGCCAUGUAUUGAAACAGCAGCGGUGAUGUGUUGGGCAGCGAAACAGCAUCGUUAUAUGAAAUAGUUUGUGCUCUGACAGCACAUCACUUUCAUAUCGGCUCUGUUCAGGACAGCGUGUCGAUAUCUCCCAGGCCAGCCGCCCGGCCCUCCCGACGCGACGGUCAUGCAUCCCUCCUUUACUGCGGCGGCGAGCAAAGUGACGAACCUACAAGGCUCAGACAAGAUGAGAAACCUUUUGGACCUCACGACUCUCUGCCAUACCUAUGAGGACACAGGAGGAAAUUGUUUGGUUCAAGAAAGGCAUGGUGCUGGCUGAGCUGUGACUCGAUCAUGAUGUGGAGAUGGAGUUGUCUGGUGUUUCUCAUUACAGAUCCACAGAUUCUGUAUUGCAGAAGUUCAAAGACAGCACUUACUCCUGGGCAUGCCUGCAUUGUUCCGAGUCCAAGAUCUGCUGCUGGCCUAUACAAUACAACAGCUCUCUGAUCUCUAGUACACUCUCCUCAUAAUCCUUGUCAUGCACGUACCUUUGUUUACCUACAGUUAUCUGGGCAUCUUGAUUCUGAAGAGCUGCAAACGCAACGUUGCCCCAAAGAGUGAGUUAGCUACAUCCACUUAAGGAGCUGAAACUAGACAUUUAUGCUGCCCUUGGGUACUAGUAUUCCAUUCCAAUAUGCACGUCUGAACGUGAAGUUGAUCAGUGCUUGAGAAACGGAAUGAUUCAUAGCAGAAACUUACACCCAUCACAUGAUCACAUUAUUUACAGGAAGAGGGUCACAAGAACUGCUUCACAAACACUUUCAUUCUUGAAAAACAGUACAUCAUCAAAGUUUAGCAAGUAAUCUGAACAUUUGAACUUUACAUUUGGCCGCCAGAGGGGUGCAGGUAUUCAAGGGAUGCAGAGAACAUUGGCAAUGGCAGCAGGGCAGAGCAUCCAAUGUCACACCUCACAUCGUUUCCAGAAUGAGGAUCACAAGUAUUCAAUGGAUGCACAGAACAUUGGCAAUGGCAGCAGGGCAGAGCAUCGAUCGUCACUCCUCAUAUCGCUUCCAGAAUGAGGAUUCCAAUUAUUCAGGGAAUGCAGAAAACAAUGGCAAUGCCAGCAGGGCAGAGCAUCCAACGUCACACCUCACAUCGUUUCCAGAAUGAGGAUCACAAGUAUUCAGUGGAUGCACAGAACAUUGGCAAUGCCAGCAGGGCAGAGCAUCGAUCGUCACUCCUCAUAUCGCUUCCAGAAUGAGGAUUCCAAGUAUUCAGGGAAUGCAGAAAACAAUGGCAAUGCCAGCAGGGCAGUGCAUCCAUCGUCACUCCUCACAUCGCUUUCAGAAUGAGGAUCACAAGUAUUCAAUGGAUGCACAGAACAUUGGCAAUGGCAGCAGGGCAGAGCAUCGAUCGUCACUCCUCAUAUCGCUUUCAGAAUGAGGAUCACAAGUAUUCAAUGGAUGCACAGAACAUUGGCAAUGGCAGCAGGGCAGAGCAUCGAUCGUCACUCUUCACAUCGCUUUCAGAAUGAGGAUCACAAGUAUUCAAUGGAUGCUCAGAACAUUUACAAUAGGAGCAAGGCAGAGCAUCCAUCAUCCCUCCUAGCAUCGUGUCCAGAAUGAAGAUCACAAGAGAGGUUUGGCUGUCUUAUUUGUGUAAUGGCCAUGACUGAUGGUUUCAAAGUUGUGUCGAUGAGUGUGUGUCUGCAUUUAAAACCAUUGCUUUUUUUUGUAUGGUGCGACUGCUCGAUUUGAUUAGAAUUUAGUGGUAUGAUUUCAUGUUUUCUGAUCUUUCUAGGUAAAAAUGGUAUGCUUUAAUCCAUCAUUGAUAAAAAAAUAUCUGUAUAUAGAUGUCCCCCCCAAAAAAAAAAAUGAGUUUACAAGACAACAUGUUGCGUGACCCUAUGCUCAAUAAUGAAAAUGAUAACUUUUGAUUAGAA